rnacentral:snRNA from 1 species
AAAGCAUUGCGAUGGUCCCUGC